rnacentral:lncRNA from 12 species
GUAAAGCCCAAGGACAUGGGUGUGCAGAGCAACUUGGGAGAAGGCUGUUUGUUGUCAUUAAUUUUUUGAGUCUUCAUAGUGCUAUGAUGCAGAGAAGGUCACCUAUUUUCUAACUCUGUUUUCUUAAUGGGGAAAAAAUAUAGGACAAUAAGAGAUCUCGGUGUCCAGAUGUAUUUCCCCAUCUCCUUUAAGUUUCCAGAAACCUGUGAUGGAAGAAGACAGGUAAAAUGUGCUUGCUUCUACCAGGAAUGUGAGAGUAAACAGCUCAUUCUUGUAACUGGAACUAUGUAGACCUGAAAUAAUUGAUUUUUGCAUUAUGCCCCAUUGGACUUCAGUUACUCAGUAAGAUCCAGUGGCAUGAUCUUGGCAAUGUUAUUCAUAUUCUUUCUUCUUUCCCAUUCCUGCUUGAACAAUUCUGUAAGUAAAGCCAGUAGUACAGCAAUUUUGCCUUAAUAGACACUGCUGCUUUCUCCCAUUGCCCCAUCCCCAAUGUAGGCCACCAUGACCUUUCUCUGGAUUAUUAUGAUAUACCAAUAACCAGAGUCCAGCUUAAGCCAAGGCAGGCUCUGAAGUCCAUGAGGAAUUAUAGACUAUUAGUGAUACAGGAAACUUUCAUCUAGGAAGGGAAAUGAGGUUUAGAGAAAUUGAGAAAUGGUCUUGAUGUCAAAUAAAUGUAAGUGGCACUCGAAUCA